rnacentral:misc_RNA from 1 species
UAAACCCUCCCGUGACACGGUCUCCUGUAAUUAUUUUUCCGUAGGUGAACUUGCGGAGGGAUCAUUACAAGUGACCCCGGUCUAACCACCGGGAUGUUCAUAACCCUUUGUUGUCCGACUCUGUUGCUUCCGGGGCGACCCUGCCUUCGGGCGGGGGCUCCGGGUGGACACUUCAAACUCUUGCGUAACUUUGCAGUCUGAGUAAACUUAAUUAAUAAAUUAAAACUUUUAACAACGGAUCUCUUGGUUCUGGCAUCGAUGAAGAACGCAGCGAAAUGCGAUAAGUAAUGUGAAUUGCAGAAUUCAGUGAAUCAUCGAAUCUUUGAACGCACAUUGCGCCCCCUGGUAUUCCGGGGGGCAUGCCUGUUCGAGCGUCAUUUCACCACUCAAGCCUCGCUUGGUAUUGGGCAUCGCGGUCCGCCGCGUGCCUCAAAUCGACCGGCUGGGUCUUCUGUCCCCUAAGCGUUGUGGAAACUAUUCGCUAAAGGGUGUUCGGGAGGAUACGCCGUAAAACAACCCCAUUCUAAGUUGACCUCGGAUCCAGUUGGGAACCCCCCCCAAAAAGGAAAAAAGGGAUCUACCACCGGGAUGUUCAUAACCCUUUGUUGUCCGACUCUGUUGCCUCCGGGGCGACCCUGCCUUCGGGCGGGGGCUCCGGGUGGACACUUCAAACUCUUGCGUAACUUUGCAGUCUGAGUAAACUUAAUUAAUAAAUUAAAACUUUUAACAACGGAUCUCUUGGUUCUGGCAUCGAUGAAGAACGCAGCGAAAUGCGAUAAGUAAUGUGAAUUGCAGAAUUCAGUGAAUCAUCGAAUCUUUGAACGCACAUUGCGCCCCCUGGUAUUCCGGGGGGCAUGCCUGUUCGAGCGUCAUUUCACCACUCAAGCCUCGCUUGGUAUUGGGCAUCGCGGUCCGCCGCGUGCCUCAAAUCGACCGGCUGGGUCUUCUGUCCCCUAAGCGUUGUGGAAACUAUUCGCUAAAGGGUGUUCGGGAGGCUACGCCGUAAACAACCCCAUUUCUAAAGUUGACCUCGGAUCAGGUAGGGAUACCCGCUGAACUUAAGCAUAUCAAUAAGCGGGAGGAAAA